rnacentral:rRNA from 1 species
UUGCAUUUGACCUCAAAUCAGGUAGG